rnacentral:rRNA from 1 species
GACGAACGCUGGCGGCGUGCUUAACACAUGCAAGUCGAACGGAAAGGCCCCUUUGGGGGUACUCGAGUGGCGAACGGGUGAGUAACACGUGAGUAACCUGCCCUUGACUUCGGGAUAACUUCAGGAAACUGGGGCUAAUACCGGAUAGGAAUCCUUGCUGCAUGGUGGGGGUUGGAAAGCUUCGGCGGUUUUGGAUGGACUCGCGGGUUAUCAGCUUGUUGGUGGGGUAGUGGCUUACCAAGGCUUUGAGGGGUAGCCGGCCUGGGAGGGGGACCGGCCAAAUUGGGACGGAAGACGGGCCCGGACUCCACCGGGAGGGAGCGGGGGGGAAUUUUCCAAAAGGGGCGGGAGCCGGAUGCAACAAAGCCGGGGGGGGGAUGACGGCCUUCGGUUUGUAAACCGUUUUCAGCAGGGGCGAAGUUUUUGGGGACGUUACCUGCAAAAAAAGCACCGGUAACUUCGGG